UAUCUCUGUAGAGUCUGCAUAUCAAUAAGCGGAGGAAAAGAAACUAACUAGGAUUCCCUCAGUAACGGCGAGUGAAGCGGGAAGAGCUCAAAUUUGAAAUCUUCAAGGUUCUACCUUGACGAAUUGUAGUUUAAAGAAGGUGUUUUCUGUUGGAGUUUUGGUAAAAGUUCUUUGGAAUAGGACAUCAUAGAGGGUGAGAAUCCCGUAUUUGGCCAUUCCUUCCUAGCGUUGUGAUACACUUUCAACGAGUCGGAUUGUUUGGGAAUGCAGUCCAAAAUGGGUGGUAAAUUUCAUCUAAAGCUAAAUACUGGCGAGAGACCGAUAGCGAACAAGUACCGUGAGGGAAAGAUGAAAAGAACUUUGAAAAGAGAGUUAAACAGUACGUGAAAUUGUCAAAAGGGAAGCGUUUGACACCAGUGUUGUUUUUCCGAAAAUCAAUUACGAAUGUUUUAUUUUUGAGGAGUUAUGACUUCAUCGGCUUGCUCCUUUCUUUAUGAAACUUUCUUAAUGCACUUUUCGGUUAACAAGUCAACAUCAAUUUCUUUUGUUGUAAAAGGGUAUGAGGAAGGUGGCUUUACUUUCGGGUAAAGUGUUUAUAGCCUUGUAACUUCUGCAAUCGGAGAGAUUGAGGUCUGCAGCGUAGAUCCUUCGGGGUUAGAUACAUUUGUGCUAAGUUAUAGCUUUUCAUAGACAACUUGUUGACUAUGAUUAAGUCUUGUAAUUUACUCGCAGAUGCUAUUUUACCUACGCUUAGGAUGUUGAGUAGCGACAUACGCAC
rnacentral:rRNA from 1 species